rnacentral:sRNA from 1 species
AGAAAUGAUGGUUGACU